GAAGAGAAAAUAGAUUGAAAUAUUGUCUCAUCUUUCCCCACCCCACUAUAUUAAGUAUAGAUAAACAAAUCCAAAAUUUCUACUCCUACUUAUCAGAGCUAAUUAACUUCUGCUUAAUAAGCAAACAACGUCUAGUAGGUUGAGUAAGAUACUCCAUGUUUUCGUUCUCUUAUAUCGUACCAUUUCCUCUUUCGGAUUACGUCAUAGUUCUGUCUAAAAUGUCCCCGGGGUUAUCAGCGCCAAAUUACUUCUGUUUAACGAGUAAACAAACUAUAAACUACAAGUCCGAUAAAGACGCACAUAGCACUGUAUUUAACAGCAAACAUUACAACCAAUAAGUUAGAUUUGAUUUUCACGAUUGUGGGGCUAACUAUCCUUGCCUCUCUCCUAAACAUAUCAUAUUACCCAAUCUACAACAUAACACCCCUACAUUUCAGUUCACCCCGCUUACGUAGCGACCCACUCCCUCGCGCCCCCUCUAACGCCGGCCCCUCACAAUGGGGGUUGGGAAAUCCCCUAGCUGCAAGAAGAAACCCACAAGAUGUUUUACCCGGCGUACCAGGCUCGCGACGUAACGACCCGUUGCCGCAACCACCGGAUGAUACAUCAUCGUCGUCAGGAUGACGUCACCGAAUAAUGACGUCACAGAAAUAAUUCACUUAGUCGUAAUAUGUAUUUGAAAACUUGCUCAUGGCAAGAAAUGAAAUCUUUUCAUAUGACGCGUGAUCUCGUGAUAAUAUCACAAACACGUCAUAUUCACGAAAAAUGUUCAUGAAAUGUUAAAUGUGUCAAGCUUAGGUGUCAAG